rnacentral:rRNA from 1 species
GCUAAUACCGCAUACGCCCUACGGGGGAAAGGGGGGGAUCGCAAGACCUCCCACUAUUGGAGCGGCCGAUAUCGGAUUAGCUAGUUGGUGGGGUAAAGGCUCACCAAGGCAACGAUCCGUAGCUGGUUUGAGAGGACGACCAGCCACACUGGGACUGAGACACGGCCCAGACUCCUACGGGAGGCAGCAGUGGGGAAUUUUGGACAAUGGGGGAAACCCUGAUCCAGCCAUCCCGCGUGUAUGAUGAAGGCCUUCGGGUUGUAAAGUACUUUUGGCAG